CCUACGGGCGGCAGCAGUGAGGAAUAUUGGUCAAUGGACGAGAGUCUGAACCAGCCAAGUAGCGUGAAGGAUGACUGCCCUAUGGGUUGUAAACUUCUUUUAUAUGGGAAUAAAAUGUUCCACGUGUGGGAUUUUGUAUGUACCAUAUGAAUAAGGAUCGGCUAACUCCGUGCCAGCAGCCGCGGUAAUACGGAGGAUCCGAGCGUUAUCCGGAUUUAUUGGGUUUAAAGGGAGCGUAGGUGGAUUGUUAAGUCAGUUGUGAAAGUUUGCGGCUCAACCGUAAAAUUGCAGUUGAAACUGGCAGUCUUGAGUACAGUAGAGGUGGGCGGAAUUCGUGGUGUAGCGGUGAAAUGCUUAGAUAUCACGAAGAACUCCGAUUGCGAAGGCAGUUCACUGGACUGCAACUGACACUGAGGCGCGAAAGUGUGGGUAUCAAACAGGAUUAGAUACCCCAGUAGUC
rnacentral:rRNA from 1 species